GCCUUCUCAGGGUCAUACCUGGAGAAUUUCCAGUACUCUACCAGUCUCGACUGUGGGAAGAAGGGUCUAGCAGAAGCCUACCCAUUCCAUUCCUACCUUGGGCAGUGGCUAGUGAAUGGAAGGCAAUCUGCUACAAGU